UACGUAGGGUGCAAGCGUUGUCCGGAAUUAUUGGGCGUAAAGAGCUCGUAGGCGGUUUGUCGCGUCUGCUGUGAAAACUCGGGGCUUAACCCCGGGCCUGCAGUGGGUACGGGCAGACUAGAGUGCGGUAGGGGAGACUGGAAUUCCUGGUGUAGCGGUGAAAUGCGCAGAUAUCAGGAGGAACACCGGGGGCGAAGGCGGGUCUCUGGGCCGUAACUGACGCUGAGGAGCGAAAGCGUGGGGAGCGAACAGG
rnacentral:rRNA from 1 species